rnacentral:rRNA from 1 species
UACGGAGGGAGCUAGCGUUGUUCGGAAUUACUGGGCGUAAAGCGCGCGUAGGCGGCUUUGUAAGUUAGAGGUGAAAGCCUGGAGCUCAACUUCAGAAUUGCCUUUAAGACUGCAUCGCUUGAAUCCGGGAGAGGUGAGUGGAAUUCCGAGUGUAGAGGUGAAAUUCGUAGAUAUUCGGAAGAACACCAGUGGCGAAGGCGGCUCACUGGACCGGGCAUUGACGCUGAGGUGCGAAAGCGUGGGGAGCAAACAGG